AGUUCUUGCCUGGUUUCCCGCUGAUGCUAAGCAGCGUUGAGCCUGGCCAAUACCUGGAUGGGAGAACACCUGGGGAAAACCUAAGGUUGCUGGAAAUG
rnacentral:rRNA from 1 species